AAUGACAUACCUUAGGAUCACCUUCGCCGCUGACGUAGUAUUUAACAUCGGCGAAUAAGGCCCCAUCGAGUUUUAAUUCCUCAAGACCGGCCCUUAUGUCGCCCAUCCUUAAAAAAUUACAGAUUCCUUCACGUUGCAUAUUCUCGCGCGGUAUGUCGAAGUUUCUGAAUCUACAUGCGUCUCGUAACUUAUUCUUCUCCAUCUUCUUCUUUUGCCUUCCUAUAUUCUUAGUUUCGAAGCAAGGUCUGUUCACGACUGAGGAAUUUUUCUGUCAUAUCCACAAGUUUUAUCCUCUUAGCAACACUGG
rnacentral:misc_RNA from 1 species